rnacentral:rRNA from 1 species
CCGGCACGCGGCGAAGGGCUCUGCGAGCGUGCGCUCCAACAGCGAGGAGCGCAGGCGAGCUCUUCGGUCGUGGCGGAGGAACCUCGGCGGCUCUUGCUAAACGGCGCUUCCCCUGGCCGCCGGCUCAUGUCCACCUCCUCCAUCAGUCGCAAGCCAACAUCUAGUGCCGAGCUGGAAUUGCUGGAAAUGCGAUUCAAGAAGACGAAGGAAGAGUUGUUUGAUUUGCUCGUACUGAUGAAAAGGGCAGAACUUUACCCACAGUUGUCCUGGGAAGACAUCCAAACUCAUCGGCUGAUCACUCACCUUGCUGCUCAAGUGGAGCCUAGGCCUCAUGACCCCAAUUGGCGCAUGUUUGGACGAACAAGAAGACUCAACGAUUUUAACACUAUAACCGUUACUCUGGGAUAUUUUGGUCUGUUUGCCUACUGCGUGGCAACUAACAUGAGAGAAGAUGGCGCUACAAGCAAGAAUAGUGAAGCCAAUUUCGUCUCCGAGCCAGAGAACAAUAUGAACUAG